rnacentral:rRNA from 1 species
AUUGAACGCUGGCGGCAUGCUUUACACAUGCAAGUCGAACGGUAACAGGCCGCAAGGUGCUGACGAGUGGCGAACGGGUGAGUAAUGCAUCGGAACGUGCCCAGUCGUGGGGGAUAACUACUCGAAAGAGUAGCCAAUACCGCAUACGAUCUAUUGUUGAAAGCGGGGGACUGCAAGGCCUCGCGCGAUUUGUGCGGCCGAUGUCAGAUUAGGUAGUUGGUAAGGUAACGGCUCACCAAGGCAACGAUGUGUAGCCGACCUGAGAGGAGGACCGGCCACACUGGAACUGAGACACGGUCCAGACGACGACGGGAGGCAGCAGUAGGGAAUCUUCCGCAAUGGGCGAAAGCCUGACGGAGCAACGCCGCGUGAGUGAUGAAGGUCUUCGGAUCGUAAAACUCUGUUAUGAGGGAAGAACAAAUGUGGAAGUAACUAGGCACGUCUUGACGGUACCUAAUCAGAAAGCCACGGCUAACUACGUG